CCAGAAACCAUUUAUGGUGUCAAGGUUAGCCAUCACUGGCCUAAGCAGAGAUCUUAUGCUCCCCACAAUCCUGUAUUUACUUUAUGCAGACUUGCUCUGACCGCUGUCAGAAGUGGCUCUAAGGGCAGAACAAAUAGAGGUGACAACAGGCAGCCCUGUCUUGUUACAGUUAAAAUUCUAAUCUCUUCUGUCAGGGCACCGUUUAUGCGAACCCUAGCAGUGAACUGAAAUCUGCUCUGAACAAAGAUCCCAUUUACCUCUCCCCUUUGCUUACCAAAGACUCCCUGCAUGCCCUCAGAUGUACCUGCCUCUUUCUUCAUCUGUGCAGGCAUUAGAUGCACCCUAUUGGUACUCUGCCAUACCCUUACCUGCUCCCAUUACCUCCAUCACCCUGCCC